rnacentral:tRNA from 1 species
GGCGUGGUAGCUCAGUUGGUUAGAGCGUCGGAUUCAUAACCCGGAGGUCGGCGGUUCAAUCCCGCCCCACGCUACAA